rnacentral:rRNA from 1 species
CCUACGGGAGGCAGCAGUGAGGAAUAUUGGUCAAUGGGCGGGAGCCUGAACCAGCCAAGUCGCGUGAGGGAAGACGGUCCUACGGAUUGUAAACCUCUUUUGCCGGGGAGCAACGGGGUCCUUGCGAGGGCCCGAUGAGAGUACCCGGAGAAAAAGCAUCGGCUAACUCCGUGCCAGCAGCCGCGGUAAUACGGAGGAUGCGAGCGUUAUCCGGAUUUAUUGGGUUUAAAGGGUGCGUAGGCGGUCGGAUAAGUUAGAGGUGAAAUCCCGAGGCUCAACUUCGGAAUUGCCUCUGAUACUGUUCGGCUAGAGAGUAGUUGCGGUAGGCGGAAUGUAUGGUGUAGCGGUGAAAUGCUUAGAGAUCAUACAGAACACCGAUUGCGAAGGCAGCUUACCAAGCUACUUCUGACGUUGAGGCACGAAAGCGUGGGGAGCAAACAGGAUUAGAUACCCCAGUAGUC